rnacentral:rRNA from 1 species
GACGAACGCUGGCGGCGUGCUUAACACAUGCAAGUCGAACGGACUUAGUUUAGAUGAAGUUUUCGGAUGGAAUCUUUUCUAAGUUAGUGGCGGACGGGUGAGUAACGCGUGGGUAACCUACCCCUAUUACCGGGACAACAGCUGGAAACGGCUGCUAAUACCGGAUAAACUCUCGAAUCGGCAUCGAUUUUAGAGCAAAGGAGGCCUCUAUUUAUAAGCUACCGAAUAGGGAUGGACCCGCGUCUGAUUAGCUAGUUGGUAGGGUAACGGCCUACCAAGGCGACGAUCAGUAGCCGGCCUGAGAGGGUGGCCGGCCACACUGGGACUGAGACACGGCCCAGACUCCUACGGGAGGCAGCAGUGGGGAAUCUUCCGCAAUGGGCGAAAGCCUGACGGAGCAACGCCGCGUGAAUGAAGAAGGCCUUCGGGUCGUAAAGUUCUGUCUUUUGGGAAGAAGGCUCUUACUAUGAAUAAUGGUAGGAGAUGACGGUACCAAAGGAGGAAGCUCCGGCUAACUACGUG